AUUGAACGCUGGCGGCAUGCUUUACACAUGCAAGUCGAACGGCAGCACGGGGGCUUGCUCCUGGUGGCGAGUGGCGAACGGGUGAGUAAUGCAUCGGAACGUACCCAGUAGUGGGGGAUAGCCCGGCGAAAGCCGGAUUAAUACCGCAUAUUUCCUGAGGGAGAAAGCGGGGGACCUUCGGGCCUCGCGCUACUGGAGCGGCUGAUGUCGGAUUAGCUAGUUGGUGAGGUAAAGGCUCACCAAGGCGACGAUCCGUAGCUGGUCUGAGAGGAUGAUCAGCCACACUGGGACUGAGACACGGCCCAGACUCCUACGGGAGGCAGCAGUGGGGAAUUUUGGACAAUGGGGGCAACCCUGAUCCAGCCAUGCCGCGUGAGUGAAGAAGGCCUGGUGUAAGACUCUUCUAGUGGAAGAAAUACACUACCCG
rnacentral:rRNA from 1 species